AUAAUCCAGCCGCCAGAAGGUAGAAUCCCCUACGCUAUUCAUCCGAAAGAGCGCCCCUUCAGAUGGACUCGUAAAGAACAUAUGGUUGGCGAAGAUUUGAUAGAGGUCGUUGGUAACAUUGGAGAUCCAUUCGCCGGUUUGUCCAUUAAUUAUGCCCAAUUUGCUGCCAUAGUGAGAUACGUCGGCUAAUUCCGCUAAGUACCUACGAAAUGGGAAAGGCAAUCGAUGAGGCGUCAACAGAAAAUCUUAAUGAAUUCGACCUUAAAACCCGAGAAAGGAUUGCUCAAACACCUCUCGGCGGAACGUGUCAAUUCCGCUAAACAAAAACGGCUGUUUUGAAAUACAUACGUAUUUCAAGCGACAUUAAAAACGUCUGCGAUUUAUUUUUA